rnacentral:misc_RNA from 1 species
CUUUUACAUUGUAAGUUUCAUCCUCUGACACCUACUCUCUCGUUAUCCCUGUGCGGUUUCAUGGGCAAAAUGAUUAAAGCCGCUUAUUCUUUUAUGCUCUAUUUUGCCUUUCUAUUUAUCAUAGCAGAAGCAGAAUCAAUCAGCCCCAAGCCUCAUGCUCUGGACUCUUUCAAUCUUAGUUUAAUCCAGGUAUCACCAAAGUCAGUGAUAUUGUCUUGGCUUUUGUUUGUUUUCCCUGUUGCUGGGUCGUUAAAUUAAAUCUUCUGGUUUUGUAUUAUAUAUGGGAACUCGAUGAAAAAAGACUGUGGGAAGCUGCUCUUACCAAGUGAUAAUCUCAACAAGCUGUUCCUCACCCAAAUACACCCGCGAUCAGAUCAGUCUUGCUUUUGGAGACGCUUAUGGCAACCAGGUUCGCUUUUAAUUACUUUCCCUGAUUUUAAUUUUUGUGUUGAUUAAUUGAUUACUCUUUAGUUAAAAAUUAACAAAUUAUUUUGGAGAAACGUACUAUACAAAUCGAAUUGCAUCUUUCAUAGUAACAGAGAGAUCAACACAGAUGCAGAGCCAUAAUUAUCGAAUUCUUUCAUAUAAAUGGUGAUGGUGCGAUUAUUAGGUUUUUAAAGUUCAUAAAUAAGGUUGACCUGUGUUCAUAAAUGCAGUAAGGACGUGUCCAUGGCUGGGUCGUUAAUGUCUACGUCUAUCACUAACGAUAAAUGAGAUAGAUAAUAUUAUAAUAGAGUCUGUGUCUUGGAAACUUCUUAUCUACAGUUUGUACACUCACAUCCAAUCUCAUUGGUCGACCGACCCGAUUCCUAUUUUCAAACUAUACAAAUAUAAGCUUUUAAACAAAUUGUGAAUCAGAUUUAUGCGCCAAGGCUGGAUGAUCCAUCUACGAAGACUUUCGAGCGGUGCUCUUCUGAUACAUUUCAGUUAAGUGGACCAUGUGCCUAUCAGAUAUGUUAUGUUUAUCUGUAUAGAACUGGACCUGAUGGCUGGAAGCCUGAGACUGUGAAGAUUUAUGGGUAUAAUUCUUAUCCUGUUACAUUUGACUACAACAUUUUCAUUCCCAGAGAUAUUUGGUACGGAUUCAAUCUGUGCCAAAGUGCCUCUUCUGCACAUGUUGGAAGAGUUCAAGGAUGGUUUAUGUAUGUUUUUCUAUUAGUUGUUGUUGCUGUUAUAUUCUAAUUGUGGUUGUACACAUUCAGAUCAAUUAAGACCUUAUGGUAGUAAUGGACUUGAUAGUUGAAGUUUUAGCUGAUUGUUGUUGUAAUGGUAAAUAUUUCAUAGUAGUAAUUGCAUCAUUUUGUUGCUGCCAUAGUUAAGGACCUAAUGGGUGUUACGCUGCUGCAAAACAUCUUUGAGCUUUUGUAUCUUUCGAUCCAGAUCACAGCCAUUCAAAAGCUCCUAUUGUCGAAGCUUAAUUGUUUUGAUUUCACUAACAUAAUUUACAUAUUUACGGUGCAAAA